rnacentral:rRNA from 1 species
ACCUGACCUAGCGGCGGACGGGUGAGUAAUGCUUAGGAAUCUGCCUAUUAGUGGGGGACAACAUCUCGAAAGGGAUGCUAAUACCGCAUACGUCCUACGGGAGAAAGCAGGGGACCUUCGGGCCUUGCGCUAAUAGAUGAGCCUAAGUCGGAUUAGCUAGUUGGUGGGGUAAAGGCCUACCAAGGCGACGAUCUGUAGCGGGUCUGAGAGGAUGAUCCGCCACACUGGGACUGAGACACGGCCCAGACUCCUACGGGAGGCAGCAGUGGGGAAUAUUGGACAAUGGGGGGAACCCUGAUCCAGCCAUGCCGCGUGUGUGAAGAAGGCCUUUUGGUUGUAAAGCACUUUAAGCGAGGAGGAGGCUACCGAGAUUAAUACUCUUGGAUAGUGGACGUUACUCGCAGAAUAAGCACCGGCUAACUCUGUGCCAGCAGCCGCGGUAAUACAGAGGGUGCAAGCGUUAAUCGGAUUUACUGGGCGUAAAGCGCGCGUAGGUGGCCAAUUAAGUCAAAUGUGAAAUCCCCGAGCUUAACUUGGGAAUUGCAUUCGAUACUGGUUGGCUAGAGUAUGGGAGAGGAUGGUAGAAUUCCAGGUGUAGCGGUGAAAUGCGUAGAGAUCUGGAGGAAUACCGAUGGCGAAGGCAGCCAUCUGGCCUAAUACUGACACUGAGGUGCGAAAGCAUGGGGAGCAAACAGGAUUAGAUACCCUGGUAGUCCAUGCCGUAAACGAUGUCUACUAGCCGUUGGGGCCUUUGAGGCUUUAGUGGCGCAGCUAACGCGAUAAGUAGACCGCCUGGGGAGU